ACUCCUACGGGAGGCAGCAGUGGGAAGUAUUGCAUCAAUGGGGAAACCGGUAGCAUGCAGCCAUGCCGCGUGUGUGAAGAAGGCCUUCGGGUUGUAAAGCACUUUCAGUAGGGAGGAAGGUAGUGUAGUUAACACCUGCACUAUUUGACGUUACCUACAGAAGAAGCACCGGCUAACUCCGUGCCAGCAGCCGCGGUAAUACGGAGGGUGCGAGCGUUAAUCGGAAUUACUGGGCGUAAAGCGCAUGCAGGCGGCCUGUUAAGUCAGAUGUG
rnacentral:rRNA from 1 species